AUAUCCAGCUCGGGGCAGUGGGGUUCAGAGUGAGGAGGGAUUACUUCGCUGUGAAGAGCUGUGUGGACGGGAGUCUGCCCAGGAGCCCAGGGAUGAAGGAAAUCUUGGACAUCUUUUGUUGUGCCACCACUUGUUAUCUGCUGCUAGCUGGUGUCGGGGGACUGAAAGACAAGAUAACUGACAUGCAGGACUGAAUGCAGUAGUGUGUUGGCAAAAGAGUGUGCCUGACAAGCCUCCGGAAUGUGUGCCACAGUGUUCAGUUUAACCUGCUUCCAUCAGACCUGGCCGCUCUGAUGGCAUGGCCCUCAGCAUGGUCCCUUGGGGAUGGGAUGAGUUAUGAAACUGGGCAUGAGGACAUUAGGAUGUCUAUGUAUUAAUUAUGGCAAUAGAUUAUAGCAAUCACUUUGUUCCAAGUGGAUGCUCAGAGCAGUGCUGGGUCACCUUUCAGGACUUUUCCCUUGACUUUUGUGCCGGUAUGAUUAUGUAUGAGGGAUUUCAAAUAUCUCUAUUUCUUCGAUUUCUAAAUUUGUAUAGUUUCUUUCAUUUCUAUGCUUUUCCAUACUUAGAGCAAUUUAAUAAUAAUCUGUGGCUGAAGUUCUCUGGUCCUGUUCUUUGGCUUUGCCUUGAUCCAUAAAGGUGACUGUUGCUGUUAAUGGCUAUAUGCAUAUGCAAUAGCUGAGUGCGCGUUUUUUUAGCUAACAAAUUACAUGCAGCAGUAUCAUAUUGUGCAAGUAUAGCAUAAGGGACUUGGCCUUGAAAGCAUUAUGACAGUACAAGUAAAAAAUCAUGAUUUAUAGGAAGGAAACAGUAUUUUCCAGAGUUGAAAGGCCAUCAGUGUUGUCUCCAUCUAUGUCAUACUGGUGACAAUAAACAAGGAAAACCUGAAUUUCUUGAUUUGCAGCACGCUUUCCUUUCUCUUUAGGGGAGAGAAUCUGGUUAUAAUGGCGAAAACAUACAGCUUUAAAGCUGCAUCGCUUAUUCGGGAUCUUUUGUUCCAUGUAUGCACACGUUUUUCCCUUACCACCUGCUGACCCUGCCCAACUUGCAGCCUGCUUAGCAGUGCCACGUGGCAUGUGCAUCUCUUGCUGUACAUGAAUAUGGAUUCGACAUCAGCUGAUGUUUUGCCCUUCAGUUCUACUGUGCAGAUUAGUAAGAAGGUACGGAGCAGAUCAAAUUGCUAAAUUAUUGAAGUAGAAAUACAAUCCAAAUUCUCCUCCAUUUGCUUCCUCUUGCAAAAAAAACCACAGGAUGAUACAUUUUGAGCACGUAUAACAAAUGGUCCAGAUGAGUACCAGAGAGAAGAUAUAUUAAACUAUAUUUCUUUUUGUGUGUGUUGCUUGGUGUAUAAUGCACUUCAGUCAAUAUCAAAUGUUGUUUUAAAUAUCAUCCAGAAUGUGUAUUGGUUUUUGACCUCAGCUCAUAUUUCCAACGCUGAUGUCAUGUGCACAAAAUAAAUUGUGCAGCGGUCUGGCAUUAACAACCUCAUCUUGUGAGUUAAAUAAACCAAGAACAUUUUAUUGG
rnacentral:lncRNA from 7 species